GGAAGACACAACCAGGUUACCUCGUUACUCAUAUGAAAGCAAAUAACAUUUGAUUUAAGACGGAAUAUUCAACAGUACAAUUUGGUCAGAUGGAGGUUUAUGGGAAGACACGUGACCCCGGCCAUGGCAAAGGCCCCGAUGACGCAUGCCCGCUUUGUCAGCCGUGUGGAGAGGGGGGGAAACAAGCUUUUGGCUGAAUUGCAAGGAGUAUAUGUGCAGAUCAUGUUUCGAGGUACACCAGCGAUUCAAGAAUUUCAAGAACCAUUUUCUGCAUAAGAAAGAUGAGAUGCCAUCAUUUUAUCAAUCAACUAAGCAUUCCGAUAUUGGUCAAAUGGACUAUUGCAGCUAUCAUCCAGACGAGAAAAUAAAAUUGUAUUGCUCUUCCCACGACGCCAUAGGUUGUGGUGACUGCAUUGUUCUUGAACAUCGGGGAUGCAAAGUCGAUUUCAUUGCUGAAGUUUCGAAAGGCUUUGUCAAGAAUGACAGGUUUCAACAACUUUUGCCGACUAUUAAAGAACUUGAAAUCCUUUUGGACUUAAACUUGAAUAAGGUUCAAGAUCUCGUUUACUAUGCCGAUAAGCAGUUUGAAGGUGAACAGAUACAGCCAGCAAAUUUUCAAGAGGAAAUCAUUGCAUUUAUUGUCCACUCCCAGAAUUGGGAAGAAGACGUUUUGGAAUCCAUGGAUUGAAUUAAAGAUGAAGAUGAAGCGAUACUGAAAGAAAUAACGGCAGAAUAUGACAGACUCAAGGCGAGAUUGGGUCCCAUUAAAGCAAAAAUCACAAACUCGGACACAUCCGAACACCAGUUGUUCGUGGACGGAACGAUAGCUGCAAGACAAUGUUAAACGAACUGCGUUCUGAAAUGAAUGAUACUAUCAAAAGGAUGACGAUACGGAAAUACAGUUUCAAGAAAGACCCGGACAUAGAGAAAUGGCUAGAUAUAAAAAUGGCCCUGGGAACGAUUGAAAUAGAAGAAAGACAAUACUGGGAUGCAGAUCUGGCUGCCAAAAAGCGGAUCAAUGAUGCGAAACCCUUGGCUUAUAGUAGCAUAUCCGGCAAAAACAACAGUAUACCUCCAAGAUAAAGCCGUGAAGUCGCAUCUCAAGUUGCCUGAUGCCCCAUGGGAUUUGUGCGUGCUCCUCGGUAAUCAAAUCGCCGUUACUCUCCCGGGGAAAACUUUUAUCCAACUUGUGGACUAUAAGGACCAGCAACUAUGUAAUGGGAUGACCAUCAGCGUUUCAAACGAUUGCCACGGUAUAGCUUAUCACAACCAUAGCUUGUAUGUCUUUUUUGUAAGCACUUCAUGGAUCAGUCAUAAUUACUAUAGAAUUGUGCCGAAAUUUAUUUGAUUUGCCCUUCGUUCUAUUAGAUUAUAGUCCACAACAUCUCAUUCGUCUAUAAUUGUAUGUUUUGAUCGAUACUAAAAACCUAACAAUACUUUGUAAAAGGUCUAGGAAAUGUUAGCGUCCAUUUUAAUUACAGUUGCUGUAUUAUUGCACAUAUAAAGCAGCGUUUUAUUUUGAAUUACAUUUUUUAACAAAUAUAUAAAAAUAAAUCGA